CGGGAUGUGCACCUUUGCCUGAUCCGACGCCUUUGCGGUCUGUUUGGGACCAGGGGGUCGCAGGUUCAAAUCCUGUCUUCCCGA
rnacentral:tRNA from 1 species